rnacentral:rRNA from 1 species
AGAUUGAACGCUAGCGGGAUGCUUUACACAUGCAAGUCGAACGGCAGCGCGGACUUCGGUCUGGCGGCGAGUGGCGAACGGGUGAGUAAUAUAUCGGAACGUGCCCAGUAGCGGGGGAUAACUACGCGAAAGCGUGGCUAAUACCGCAUACGCCCUACGGGGGAAAGGGGGGGAUUCUUCGGAACCUCUCACUAUUGGAGCGGCCGAUAUCAGAUUAGGUUGUUGGUGGGGUAAUGGCCCACCAAGGCUACGAUCAGUAGCUGGUCUGAGAGGAUGACCAGCCACAUUGGGACUGAGACACGGCCCAAACUCCUACGGGAGCAGCAGUGGGAAUCUUGCGCAAGUGGGACG